UGAUUGCUCCGAUGAUUCAGGCUGACAGUAUCUGAGUAAGUUAGCUCUUGAAAAAAGGCCUCAUUAAUUAAUUAAUAAACCUAAACUGAUCAUAUAUUCUAAGCAACA